UAUCUAAACGGAGAAAUUCAAUACUGUACUCAACAUACGGUGUGCACUUUUCUCUUAGUAGGACGCUGUGAUCCAUUAGAAAUCGGUACACGCCAAGUGUAUAGUGGGUCAUCAAUGAGCUGACGCGAAGUUUAUUGGAACAAAUGUCUAGAUCUUUCAACGGUCUGGUGUAUUGUCCGGUAAGCGUGUCGGUACUCGCAAUGACUGUCUGAUGGAUUUUAAAGGCCAUUUCAUUGAUGCUUGCAUCACUCGCUUAGGCGAGAACGUAAUGUGCCCGAUCAACAGUGGUUAAAUUUGAGAUACCUUUUGGACCCGUCUUGAAACACGGACCAAGGAGUCUAUCUACUAUGCGAGUAAAUGGGUAGAUUAUGAAACCUAUUUGCAGAAUAAACUUGACUAUUCAAUGGGAUUACGAGGUGAGCUCUUUAAACGGUUCCCUCUUCCAUCCCGGGGUAUUUUCAUCAACAUAUGAGCAAUCAUAUGGAAAAUAUACCAUGAGCAUAGUGGAUACGACCCGAAAGAUGGUGAACUAUGCCUGAUCAGGUCGAAGUCAGGGGAAACCCUGAUGGAGGANCGAAGCAGUUCUGACGUGCAAAUCGAUUGUCAGAAUUGGGCAUAGGGGCGAAAGACCAAUCGAACCAUCUAG
rnacentral:rRNA from 1 species